rnacentral:rRNA from 1 species
AACGAACGCUGGCGGCAGGCUUAACACAUGCAAGUCGAGCGCCCCGCCAGGGGAGCGGCAGACGGGUGAGUAACGCGUGGGAACGUACCUUUUGGUUCGGAACAACUCCGGGAAACUGGAGCUAAUACCGGAUAAGCCCUAACGGGGAAAGAUUUAUCGCCGAAAGAUCGGCCCGCGUCUGAUUAGCUAGUUGGUGAGGUAACGGCUCACCAAGGCGACGAUCAGUAGCUGGUCUGAGAGGAUGAUCAGCCACACUGGGACUGAGACACGGCCCAGACUCCUACGGGAGGCAGCAGUGGGGAAUAUUGGACAAUGGGCGCAAGCCUGAUCCAGCCAUGCCGCGUGAGUGAUGAAGGCCUUAGGGUUGUAAAGCUCUUUUGUCCGGGAAGAUAAUGACUGUACCGGAAGAAUAAGCCCCGGCUAACUUCGU